rnacentral:rRNA from 1 species
AACGAACGCUGGCGGCAGGCUUAACACAUGCAAGUCGAACGCCCCGCAAGGGGAGCGGCGGACGGGUGAGUAACGCGUGGGAACGUGCCCUUUGCUACGGAAUAGCCCCGGGAAACUGGGAGUAAUACCGUAUAAGCCCUACGGGGGAAAGAUUUAUCGGCAAAGGAUCGGCCCGCGUUGGAUUAGGUAGUUGGUGGGGUAAUGGCCUACCAAGCCGACGAUCCAUAGCUGGUUUGAGAGGAUGAUCAGCCACACUGGGACUGAGACACGGCCCAGACUCCUACGGGAGGCAGCAGUGGGGAAUCUUAGACAAUGGGCGCAAGCCUGAUCUAGCCAUGCCGCGUGAGCGAUGAAGGCCUUAGGGUUGUAAAGCUCUUUCGUGGGGGAAGAUAAUGACUGUACCCCAAGAAGAAGCCCCGGCUAACUCCGUGCCAGCCGCCGCCGUAAUAC